rnacentral:rRNA from 1 species
CCACCGAAAGAAAAAGAGUGGCGAACGGGUGAGUAACACGUGGGUAACCUGCCCAUCAGAAGGGGAUAACACUUGGAAACAGGUGCUAAUACCGUAUAACACUAUUUUCCGCAUGGAAGAAAGUUGAAAGGCGCUUUUGCGUCACUGAUGGAUGGACCCGCGGUGCAUUAGCUAGUUGGUGAGGUAACGGCUCACCAAGGCAACGAUGCAUAGCCGACCUGAGAGGGUGAUCGGCCACACUGGGACUGAGACACGGCCCAGACUCCUACGGGAGGCAGCAGUAGGGAAUCUUCGGCAAUGGACGAAAGUCUGACCGAGCAACGCCGCGUGAGUGAAGAAGGUUUUCGGAUCGUAAAACUCUGUUGUUAGAGAAGAACAAGGAUGAGAGUAGAACGUUCAUCCCUUGACGGUAUCUAACCAGAAAGCCACGGCUAACUACGUGCCAGCAGCCGCGGUAAUACGUAGGUGGCAAGCGUUGUCCGGAUUUAUUGGGCGUAAAGCGAGCGCAGGCGGUUUCUUAAGUCUGAUGUGAAAGCCCCCGGCUCAACCGGGGAGGGUCAUUGGAAACUGGGAGACUUGAGUGCAGAAGAGGAGAGUGGAAUUCCAUGUGUAGCGGUGAAAUGCGUAGAUAUAUGGAGGAACACCAGUGGCGAAGGCGGCUCUCUGGUCUGUAACUGACGCUGAGGCUCGAAAGCGUG